rnacentral:rRNA from 1 species
AUGAAGGGUGAUUGGUGCACUUUGGAAGAGAUGGGUCCUCUUUCUCGGCUCGAGAUUAUUGGACUGCAUGGAUUGGAGAAUGUAACUGCUUCCUCCUCUGCAGCAAAGGCAAAGCUUUGCGAGAAGUUGCAUCUUACCACCCUCGACUUAUCAUGCGGUAGUAUAUUGCUGGGAAAUAGGGCGAUUGAAGAGGAAGAUACCAUCUCUGAGGAAGAGCAACAUCAAAUCAAGAAUGAUUUUUGCUUGAGGAUUCUAUUCAUUAAUGACGUGGCUUGUUGCACACAGCUUCCUGAUGGCUUGUGCCAGCUCCCCUAUUUGCAGUUCAUUCAGAUCCUCCGUGCUCCGGCCAUCAAGCAUGUUGGGCCUGAAUUCAUGCAGUCCUACCAUCACAGUUAUCAUCCUUCCCAGAUGGCGGCUGCAUUUCCGAGAUUGCAGAAGAUGAAGUUAGGAGAAAUGGUGAAAUGGGAAGAGUGGGAGUGGGAGGAGCAAAGAAAUUUUCAGCAGUGGUUGAGCUUCGAGUGUCUAAAAACCUUGAACUGGAGAGGAUCACUAAUCUCCCCAGACCGCAGAAGCUUACCAUAUUGGAUUGCCCAAAGUUGGAGGUGCUGGACGAUGUUCCUGCACUCCAGAGGCUGUCUCAAGGAUGAACACAUAGAGACACUCCCAGAAUACAUGGGAGGUAUAAACUCUAUGCAUUUGGAGCUAUACUUCAGCCUAACGCUGUUGGGUUCCAUAGCCGCGGGACAAUCUGGCCCUGAAUGGGACAAGUUCAGCCAUGUUGAACAUGUCAAGGCAUAUGAGACAGGAUUUUUGACUCCCGGGUGCAGGAACACCCCACUAUCCACGCCGUUCGCAUCACUUUUGCUUCUUUCGGGAUCUGACCACACCCUGUCUAGUCCUUGCGUUUUGCAGAGAACACGAACAGUAAUCCCAGCGGCUGCAUAG